rnacentral:rRNA from 1 species
CCUACGGGAGGCAGCAGUGAGGAAUAUUGGUCAAUGGCCGGAAGGCUGAACCAGCCAUGCCGCGUGAGGGUCAGUGCCCUAUUGGCGUUAAACUUCUUUUGUGCGGGAGCAAUAAUGGUCACGUGUGGCCAGACGAGAGUACCGUACGGAUAAGCAUCGGCUAACUCCGUGCCAACAGCCGCGGUAAUACGGGGGGUGCAAGCGUUAUCCGGCUUUAUUGGGUUUAAGGGUGCGUAGGCUGGGAGGUAAGUCAGCGGUGAAAUGCCCCGGGUCAAGGGGGUGAAGGGCGGUUGAUACUGGCUUGCUGGAAUGCGGAUGCAGUGGGAGGAAUGUGUGGUGUAGCGGUGAAAUGCAUAGAUAUCACACAGAACACCGAUUGCGAAGGCAUCUCACGAAUCCGCGAUUGACGCUGAUGCACGAAAGCGUGGGUAUCAAACAGGAUUAGAUACCCUAGUAGUC